rnacentral:rRNA from 1 species
AGAACGAACGCUGGCGGCAUGCCUAACACAUGCAAGUCGGACGCUUUCGGGGGUUUCGGCCUCCGAGGGAGUGGCGGACGGGUGAGUAGCGCGUGGGAACCUGCCCCUUUGUGGGGGAUAACCGAGGGAAACUUCGGCUAAUACCGCAUGCGCCCGGGGGUAACUCCGGGGAAAGAUUUAUCGCAGAGGGAGGGGCCCGCGUCGGAUUAGGUAGUUGGUGGGGUAACGGCCUACCAAGCCGGUGAUCCGUAGCUGGUCUGAGAGGAUGAUCAGCCACACUGGGACUGAGACACGGCCCAGACUCCUACGGGAGGCAGCAGUGGGGAAUAUUGGACAAUGGGCGCAAGCCUGAUCCAGCAAUGCCGCGUGAGUGAUGAAGGCCUUAGGGUUGUAAAGCUCUUUCGGCGGGGACGAUGAUGACGGUACCCGCAGAAGAAGCCCAGGCUAACUUCGCGCCAGCAGCCGC